GUUAUCUUUGACAGCUCGGUAGAGCAGGAGGCUCUUAAUCUCAGGGCCGUGGGUUCGAGCCCCACAUGGGGCA